rnacentral:rRNA from 1 species
AUUGAACGCUGGCGGCAUGCCUUACACAUGCAAGUCGAACGGUAACGGGCCUUCGGGUGCCGACGAGUGGCGAACGGGUGAGUAAUGUAUCGGAACGUACCUUUCAGUGGGGGAUAACGUAGCGAAAGUUACGCUAAUACCGCAUAUUCUGUGAGCAGGAAAGCAGGGGAUCGCAAGACCUUGCGCUGAUUGAGCGGCCGAUAUCAGAUUAGCUAGUUGGUGAGGUAAAGGCUCACCAAGGCGACGAUCUGUAGCGGGUCUGAGAGGAUGAUCCGCCACACUGGAACUGAGACACGGUCCAGACUCCUACGGGAGGCAGCAGUGGGGAAUUUUGGACAAUGGGGGCAACCCUGAUCCAGCCAUGCCGCGUGAGUGAAGAAGGCCUUCGGGUUGUAAAGCUCUUUCGGCCGGGAAGAAAUCGUAUGGGUUAAUACCCUGUGCGGAUGACGGUACCGGCAUAAGAAGCACCGGCUAACUCCGUG